AGAGUUUGAUCCUGGCUCAGAUUGAACGCUGGCGGCAGGCCUAACACAUGGAAGUCGAGCGGUAGAGAGAAGCUUGCUUCUCUUGAGAGCGGCGGACGGGUGAGUAAUGCCUAGGAAUCUGCCUGGUAGUGGGGGAUAACGUUCGGAAACGAACGCUAAUACCGCAUACGUCCUACGGGAGAAAGCAGGGGACCUUCGGGCCUUGCGCUAUCAGAUGAGCCUAGGUCGGAUUAGCUAGUUGGUGAGGUAAUGGCUCACCAAGGCGACGAUCCGUAACUGGUCUGAGAGGAUGAUCAGUCACACUGGAACUGAGACACGGUCCAGACUCCUACGGGAGGCAGCAGUGGGGAAUAUUGGACAAUGGGCGAAAGCCUGAUCCAGCCAUGCCGCGUGUGUGAAGAAGGUCUUCGGAUUGUAAAGCACUUUAAGUUGGGAGGAAGGGCAUUAACCUAAUACGUUAGUGUUUUGACGUUACCGACAGAAUAAGCACCGGCUAACUCUGUGCCAGCAGCCGCGGUAAUAC
rnacentral:rRNA from 1 species